UACGUAGGGUGCAAGCGUUGUCCGGAAUUAUUGGGCGUAAAGAGCUCGUAGGCGGUUUGUCGCGUCGACUGUGAAAACCCGGGGCUCAACCCCGGGCCUGCAUUCGAUACGGGCAGACUAGAGUUCGGUAGGGGAGUCUGGAAUUCCUGGUGUAGCGGUGAAAUGCGUAGAUAUCAUUUGGAACGCCAAUGGUGAAAACAGGUUGCUGGGAGUGUGCUGACACUGAGACACGAAAGCCAGGGGAGCAAACGGG
rnacentral:rRNA from 1 species